UCAGAGAUAUUCAUUCAUAUGCUUUCUGCUACUUGCCACAGGAGCAGACUUUAGGUUAUUAUGUUACCAUAAUAUCUGAUUUUCCCCCCUUCUUUCCUCUAUUCUAUUCCACCGGCCAUCCUUUUUUUCUUUCUUCUUUUUUCCAUGUAGUAUUGCAUGGACUCAGUUUAUUUGAUGGAAUCAGGUCAUAUUCAAUUUGGUUUUCGAAGAAAAUCCCGUUAAAUCUUGAAUCUUUCUCCCUUGAACAAUUGAAUAUCUUUUGUUUUCAAAGAUUCUGGGGAAGACAAGCUACCAUAUCUUCAUUUUAUGGAAUCUCGUUUGAGUCAAAGCUGUUUGGCAAAAGUAGGCAUAAAAACUCAAGUUGAGCCAGCCACCUUAUCCAUUUAUCUUCUUGUUAUUUCUGUAAUUUCUUAUCGAUCCCUAUGGUAAUCUCUGAUCGAUGUGGGUAAACAUAUCUUCAAAUUUUCAGUUCAAAGACAAGAAGGAUGGGGGUGACGAUGACUCCAAUGGAAGCAAUCCAAACAGCGCUUCUAGAGGGAACUGGUGGCAGGGUUCCCUCUAUUACUAACACCCUGCCCCUGCCAUCUAAUCGACCCAUCGCCUAGCAAAGGGGGGUGGUGAUCAUAGUAUGAUCGAGCUUAAUAUUUUGGAAAUAAGAUGGUAAUGAAAUGAGUUGCUUAACACUGUCAGGACUUGCAAAAACGUGUUGGGUUGUUUUUGUCCUAACUGGUCAAUUUUGGCAAGUCUUACGCGAGCUCUCGAUAUGGUUUUAAGAGCUUGAUGCAGUCCUUCUAGGCACAUGAAGUGAUCUUGUAUGAGUAACCUAGCCAGUGCUCCAUGUACUUAAAUUUUAUCUCUGGAUUUAGUAAUUAAUAUAUCGAUCACUCGAUUGAUCUUGUUGUAACUCAA